rnacentral:tRNA from 1 species
GCAGUGGUGGUUCAGUGGUAGAAUUCUUGGCCUCCAUGCAGGAGACCCAGGUUCGAUUCCCCGCCAGUGUA